rnacentral:rRNA from 1 species
UACGUAGGGCGCAAGCGUUAUCCGGAAUUAUUGGGCGUAAAGAGCUCGUAGGCGGUUUGCCGCGUCUGCCGUGAAAGUCCGGGGCUCAACUCCGGAUCUGCGGUGGGUACGGGCAGGCUAGAGUGAUGUAGGGGAGACUGGAAUUCCUGGUGUAGCGGUGAAAUGCGCAGAUAUCAGGAGGAACACCGAUGGCGAAGGCAGGUCUCUGGGCAUUAACUGACGCUGAGGAGCGAAAGCAUGGGGAGCGAACAGG